UACGUAGGGUGCGAGCGUUAAUCGGAAUUACUGGGCGUAAAGCGUGCGCAGGCGGCGCCGCAAGUCGAGUGUGAAAUCCCCGAGCUUAACUUGGGAAGUGCGCUCGAAACUGCGGUGCUGGAGUGUGGAAGAGGGAAGUGGAAUUCCACGUGUAGCGGUGAAAUGCGUAGAGAUGUGGAGGAACACCGAUGGCGAAGGCAGCUUCCUGGGCCAACACUGACGCUCAUGCACGAAAGCGUGGGGAGCAAACAGG
rnacentral:rRNA from 1 species